ACAGGUCCGCGCCUCAUCCCUGCAGCCUGGUGUGGGUCUCAGGACCACGCAGCACUAACAAACUCUGCAGGUGGUAUUUCCGCAGCUGGGCCAUGACAAAGUACACUGAUUAACUAUGAAAAUAACCGCUGAUACUGAAUUUCCUGUGGGAAAGAUAAUCCCGUUAAGCUGGCCCCAAAAGGAUGAGAGACGCAUGGAGCAGAUUGGGGACCUUACCCCCCACUUAGAACCCAGACCCGCAGAGCCCACCCAGCACAGGGCAGCCGAUCCCAAUCGACACUUGAGCAGGAAACAAAUGCUCAACCUAAUGUCACUGA